UACGUAGGGUGCAAGCGUUGUCCGGAAUUAUUGGGCGUAAAGAGCUCGUAGGCGGUCUGUCGCGUCGGCUGUGAAAUCCCGAGGCUCAACCUCGGGUCUGCAGUCGAUACGGGCAAACUAGAGUAUUGCAGGGGAGACUGGAAUUCCUGGUGUAGCGGUGAAAUGCGCAGAUAUCAGGAGGAACACCGGUGGCGAAGGCAGGUCACUGGGCCGCAACUGACGCUGAGGAGCGAAAGCAUGGGGAGCGAACAGG
rnacentral:rRNA from 1 species